AGGUCAGGGGCCGAACACAAUCACUUCAAAGGCCACAAAUGGCCCGCGCGCCACACUUUGAACACUCAUGGCAUAAAACAUCUGGUUUGUUUAAACAACCUGAGCUGUGACUGCUACUGUCUGUUAGCAUGGGAGCUAACGGCGGUUUGGACCGGAGCGGUGAAGACAGAGGAUUCUGGUACCUGGAACUGAAUGGGUAACAGGAGUGCCGUUUCCGGACUCCUCUGGGGUUAUUACGGAAGCUGCUGGCGGUCGGCUCGGGGUUCUGCGGCGCUGCUCGGUCCAGGAUCUCCACCAGCCUCUGGAUCUUCCACUGAGCCACAGACAUGUCAUCCUUACCCUGCAGAGGACAAACACCCAGAGGUGGAAACAGCUGGCAGCGCCUUUUAACAUCAGAAAAAGCAGCGUUGGAGCGAAGAGUUAAGAUGUUUCAUUAAGACUGGGGCUGGAAAACGCAUCACACUCCUGAUUUCGCUGCAGCCGGACCAGGAAACCGGACCAGGAAACCGGACCAGGAAACCGGACCAGGAAACCGGACCAGUGAUUUUAUUUUCAGCAGUGAAAGGAAAUAAAUGAGGUCCAGCAGUUUU